AAACGCAAUUGUCAGUUCAUAAUUUUCUACAGUUCCAGAAAGGAAAGAACCAAAGAAAUAUCUUUUACAAAAUGAAAUUAUUUCAAUUAAUUUUUCCAAUAUUCUGCAUUAUCGCCCUUACUAUGGCGGCUCCCGAAAUGAUAAUUAAUGGAAAUAAUAAUAAUAACAAUUCAAACACCGAUGUGUCCUUUAGAUUGUUGGGAUAGCUUUUUAACUAACUGUAUAAGAUUUUAAAAAUUUAAUUUUUUUGAAAAUAUAACUAAUAAACACAUAUUUAGUUGA